rnacentral:rRNA from 1 species
UACGAAGGGUGCAAGCGUUGUUCGGAUUUAUUGGGCGUAAAGCGCGCGUAGGCGGACCUGCAAGUCAGAUGUGAAAUCUCGGGGCUCAACCCCGAAACUGCGUCUGAAACUACAGGUCUAGAAUCUUGGAGGGGGAAGGGGAAUUUCGCAUGUAGGGGUAAAAUCCGUAGAUAUGCGAAGGAACACCAGAGGCGAAGGCGCCUUCCUCGGACAAGUAUUGACGCUGAGGCGCGAAAGCGUGGGGAUCAAACAGGG